rnacentral:misc_RNA from 1 species
UUUCCGUAGGUGAACCUGCGGAAGGAUCAUUCAUUAUAAGUGUUUUAUGGCACUUUUUUAAAUCCAUAUCCACCUUGUGUGCAAUGUCAGGGUUGAUUUUUCUCUCGAGAGGAUCAACCCCAAACAUCAACUAUAUCUCAACUCUUUGUCUGAAAAAUAUUAUGAAUAAAACAAUUCAAAAUACAACUUUCAACAACGGAUCUCUUGGCUCUC